AGGGUAUCCCUCCCAAAGAGAGUUACCAGCCCUCAAGGGACUUCUGGAUUGAAUGCUAUGCCUUCUCAUCUCUCCCAUUUUAAGUUACGUAAGAUCGCACUACAUAGCUUCUCUCUGUUGACAGACAGUGACAGGGACUUCUCACAGUCCCAAAGGGAAUAUGUAUCUUCCCUGUCCUCUCCCAUAGUCUCUCACAUUUGCCUUCCACAGGACCACAUGCAAACAUACUUCAAUGUGUAAGCAAGGCAAACCUUGACAGAGCACAAAAUCCCUAGGUUGCCUAUGGGAAGUAAGGUCCUGCCAUUCCCUAACCCCCUAGCCAGGCCCCAGCAUUCCCUUUGGGAACCUGGAAGGUAAAUAUAGGUGGCCGAGAAGCCAUUUACCUUCAGAGCUCCAGCAAUUAAACCUUCUAUUCCCAAGAUGGGGCCCUUCCUCCAAAUUAACUCAAUGUGGUCCUCCCACUCAUUUUUUCCCCAGUGACACUUUUUCCCAGGAAAGGAGCUGACUCAUUCCUACAAAGAUAGGCAUGGCUGGCUGGCCUUUCUUCUUGAUAUAUUUGCCUUAACAGAAGAUAAUGACCCUGAUUUGAAGGAAAGAUCUGGUUGUGAACUGAACGAAGAAGGUUUUGUAGAGAAUCAUAGGAUAGAUGUAGAUAUACUUCUUGGGAAUUCAUGAAAUCAGUCUCAAACAAAACGAAAUGGUUUUUCCUUCCAUUCCAUGUAAAAAUCACUUCCUCACUAAAGGGAGGGGUAGAAUACCUCACUCGCUUCUCUCUUCCAAAUCCUUACUCCUCAACAUGCCCAUCUCUGUUCCUACUCCUAGGUUGCUG
rnacentral:lncRNA from 1 species